rnacentral:rRNA from 1 species
GACGAACGCUGGCGGCGUGCUUAACACAUGCAAGUCGAACGGAAAGGCCCUGCUUUUGUGGGGUGCUCGAGUGGCGAACGGGUGAGUAACACGUGAGUAACCUGCUCUUGACUUUGGGAUAACUUCAGGAAACUGGGGCUAAUACCGGAUAGGAGCUCCUGCUGCAUGGUGGGGGUUGGAAAGUUUCGGCGGUUGGGGAUGGACUCGCGGCUUAUCAGCUUGUUGGUGGGGUAGUGGCUUACCAAGGCUUUGACGGGUAGCCGGCCUGAGAGGGUGACCGGCCACAUUGGGACUGAGAUACGGCCCAGACUCCUACGGGAGGCAGCAGUGGGGAAUAUUGCACAAUGGGCGGAAGCCGGAGGCAGCAACGCCGCGUGCGGGAUGACGGCCUUCGGGUUGUAAACCGCUUUCGCCUGUGACGAAGCGUGAGUGACGGUAAUGGGUAAAGAAGCACCGGCUAACUACGUG